rnacentral:rRNA from 1 species
AACGAACGCUGGCGGCAGGCCUAACACAUGCAAGUCGAGCGGACCCUUCGGGGUUAGCGGCGGACGGGUUAGUAACGCGUGGGAACGUGCCCAAAGGUACGGAAUAGCCUCGGGAAACUGAGAGUAAUACCGUAUGUGCCCCUCGGGGGAAAGAUUUAUCGCCUUUGGAUCGGCCCGCGUUGGAUUAGGUAGUUGGUGGGGUAAUGGCCUACCAAGCCGACGAUCCAUAGCUGGUUUGAGAGGAUGAUCAGCAACACUGGGACUGAGACACGGCCCAGACUCCUACGGGAGGCAGCAGUGGGGAAUCUUAGACAAUGGGGGAAACCCUGAUCUAGCCAUGCCGCGUGGACGAUGGAGGCCUUAGGGUUGUAAAGUCCUUUCAGCUGGGAAGAUAAUGACGGUACCAGCAGAAGAAGCCCCGGCUAACUCCGUG